AGAAUCAACGCUGGCGGCGUGCCUAACACAUGCAAGUCGCACGAGAAAGGGUAGCAAUACCUGAGUACAGUGGCGCACGGGUGAGUAACACGUGACUAACCUACCCUCGAGUGGGGAAUAACCUAGGGAAACCUGGGCUAAUACCGCAUAACACUUACGAGUCAAAGCAGCAAUGCGCUUGGGGAGGGGUCGCGGCCGAUUAGCUAGUUGGCGGGGUAAAGGCCUACCAAGGCUACGAUCGGUAGCUGGUCUGAGAGGACGACCAGCCACACUGGGACUGAGACACGGCCCAGACUCCUACGGGAGGCAGC
rnacentral:rRNA from 1 species